AAUCAACGCUGGCGGCGUGCCUCAGACAUGCAAGUCGAACGCGAAAGUCCCCUUCGGGGGGCAAGUAGAGUGGCGCACGGGUGAGUAACACGUAGGUAAUCUACCUUUGGAUGGGGAAUAACCACCGGAAACGGUGGCUAAUACCGCAUAAUGCAGCGGCACCUAAUGGUGACAGUUGUUAAAGCGGGGGAUCGUAAGACCUCGCGUCUGAAGAGGAGCCUGCGGCGGAUUAGCUAGUUGGUAGGGUAACGGCUUACCAAGGCAAUGAUCCGUAGCCGGCCUGAGAGGGCGGUCGGCCACACUGACACUGACAUACGGGUCAGACUCCUACGGGAGGCAGCAGUCGGGAAUUUUGGGCAAUGGGCGAAAGCCUGACCCAGCAACGCCGCGUGAAGGAUGAAAUCCCUCGGGAUGUAAACUUCGCAAGAACGGGAAGAAUAAGUAAGGGUUAAUAUCUCUUACGAUGACGGUACUGUUUGUAAGCUCCGGCUAACUCCGUGC
rnacentral:rRNA from 1 species